rnacentral:pre_miRNA from 1 species
AAAGUACUCCCUCCAUCCCAAAAUACUUGUCUUAGAUUUGUCUAGAUACAGAUGUAUCAAGUCACAGAUACAUCUGUAUCUAGACAAAUCUAAGACAAGAAAUUUGGGAUAGAGGGAGUAGUUG